rnacentral:rRNA from 2 species
UGGGAGAAGUGCAUCGGAAACGAGGAUAACUUGAGUGCAGAAGAGGGGUAGGGCAUCUCCCAUGUGUAGCGGGUAGAAUUGCGUAGAUAUCAGGAAGACCCCCAGUGGCGAAGGCGGGUUACCUGGUCCUGCAAUUGACGCUGAGACUCGAAAGCAUGGGUAGAGACACAGGAUUAGAUACCUGGGUAGUCCAUGCCGUAAACGAUGAGUGCUAGGUGUCGGAGGGUUUCCGCCCUUCAGUGCCCGAGCUAAGCGCAUUAAGCUCUCCGCCUGGGGAGUACGUCCGCAGGGUUGAAACUCAAAGGAAUUGACGGGGGCCCGCCAAAGCGGUGGAGCAUGUGGUUUAAUUGGAACAUACGCGAAGAACCUUACCAGGUCUGGACAUCUUGCGCCAACCCUAGAGAUAGGGCGUUUCCUUCGGGAACGCAAUGACCGGUGGUGCAUGGUCGUCGUCAGCUCGUGUCGUGAGAUGUUGGGUUAAGUCCCCCAACGAGCGCCACCCCUUGGUUCUAGUUUCCAGCCUUAAGUUGGGCACUUUAUUGAGACUGCCGGCGACAAACCGGGAGAAGGUGGGGAAGAUCUCAGAUCAUCAUGCCCCUUAUGACCUUGGCUACACACGCAUACAAUGGACGGUACAACGAGUCGCCAACUCCAGGGGGCAAGCAAAUAUCUUCAAACCGAUUUCAGUUCGGGAUGCAGGCUGCAAAUUGCCUGCCAGAAGUCGGAAUCGUUAGUAAUCGCGGAUCAGCAUUUCCAAGUGAAUUCGUUCCCGGGCCUUCUACACACCUCCCGUUUACUCAUGCGAGUUUCUAACACCCAAAAUCAAAGGCAUUAACUUUCAAGACCCAGCCAACCUAAGGUGGCACAGAGUCUAGGUUGCAGUCUAGCACGUGCAUGUCC